GCCCGGUUAGCUUAGUGGUAGAGCGUGUCACUUGUAAUGACAAGGUCGCUGGUUCAAUCCCGGUGCUGGGCU
rnacentral:tRNA from 1 species